rnacentral:rRNA from 1 species
UACGAAGGGGGGCUAGCGUUGCUCGGAAUCACUGGGCGUAAAGCGCACGUAGGCGGCUUUUUAAGUCAGGGGUGAAAUCCCGGAGCUCAACUCCGGAACUGCCUUUGAUACUGAAAAGCUUGAGUUCGGGAGAGGUGAGUGGAACUGCGAGUGUAGAGGUGAAAUUCGUAGAUAUUCGCAAGAACACCAGUGGCGAAAGGCGGCUCACUGGUCCGGUACUGACGCUGAGGUGCGAAAGCGUGGGGAGCAAACAGG